GGGGGCGACGUAGGCUUCGACGGGGGUUGCAAAACCUAUAGUGCAUGCCGAGGCGCAGAGUACCUCGUAAAUCCAACUGCAAACUUAUAGUUGCCAACGACGACAACUACGCACUCGCUGCUUAAUACCCAGUAGGGUGCCGUCUGACUGGAGCCGUGCCUAUGCGUCCAGCAUUUCAGGCGUCAUAUCUCAUAGGAUCGCAUUGAAGCUCGUCCGGGGCGGA
rnacentral:tmRNA from 1 species